rnacentral:tRNA from 1 species
GCCAACGUAGCUCAGUGGUAGAGCAGCGGUUUUGUAAACCGCAGGUCGUCGGUUCAAUCCCGACCGUUGGCUCCA